AACGCUAGCGGCACGCUUCAUACAUGCAAGUCGAGGGGCAGCAUAAAUUACUUGUAAUUUGAUGGCGACCGGCGAACGGGUGCGUAACGCGUAUGCAACUUACCUUUUACUAGAGAAUAGCCAAGAGAAAUUUUGAUUAAUGCUCUAUACUCUUAUUAACUCACAUGAGUUUUUAAGAAAAGCUCCGGCGGUAAAAGAUGGGCAUGCGUCCUAUUAGCUUGUAGGUGAGGUAACGGCUCACCUAAGCUCCGAUAGGUAGGGGUCCUGAGAGGGAGAUCCCCCACACUGGUACUGAGACACGGACCAGACUUCUACGGAAGGCAGCAGUAAGGAAUAUUGGACAAUGGAGGAAACUCUGAUCCAGCGAUGCCGCGUGAAGGAAGACGGCCCUAUGGGUUGUAAACUUCUUUUAUACAGGAAUAAACCUAUCCACGUGUGGAUAGCUGAAGGUACUGUAAGAAUAA
rnacentral:rRNA from 1 species